GGUAAUCAAUCAGUUCUUUGAAUGACCACACCCAAGCUUGCUAUAUCCGAGAAUAUUAGAAUCGUGAUGCUUGCUAAUUCGCUAUAAUUCUUCACGUUAAAUAAGACGUUAUCUAGAACUGAAGUAACUUCGAGAUGUUCCGAGUUGGCGUAUUAAUGGCAAAGAUGGAAGCUAAAUAUGGUGAUUUUUCCUUCUAUUUCGAUACUGCUGCGAGCACAUAAAAUAGGAUGAGUACAAAAAUACCCGCAUUCUGAAUGGAAUGGAAGUUGAAUUUAGUAAUUGCCCCCUACUGAGAUGCUAGUUGACGCCCCAGAGAAAAAAGUUGAAUCUCAAGAUGCUGAUGCCUCUCCAAUUUAAACAUGAAUAAUAUCUUUGUGCUUGUUCCAUGCACUCCACUACAUCCAUUAAACGAUGCUCAAAUUAAGAAUCGGACAUAAUUCAAGAUGCUCUAGAACUUAAGUUCCCGAACAAGUAAACGUCAGCUUAUACUUCUCGGACAGUUGUGCACCUUUGGAUUGAAGCGUCUUAAUGAAGACAUGGUUUAUCCUAUGUGGG